AUGAACGCUAGCUACAGGCUUAACACAUGCAAGUCGAGGGGCAGCAUGGUCUUAGCUUGCUAAGGCCGAUGGCGACCGGCGCACGGGUGAGUAACACGUAUCCAACCUGCCGUCUACUCUUGGACAGCCUUCUGAAAGGAAGAUUAAUACAAGAUGGCAUCAUGAGUCCGCAUGUUCACAUGAUUAAAGGUAUUCCGGUAGACGAUGGGGAUGCGUUCCAUUAGAUAGUAGGCGGGGUAACGGCCCACCUAGUCUUCGAUGGAUAGGGGUUCUGAGAGGAAGGUCCCCCACAUUGGAACUGAGACACGGUCCAAACUCCUACGGGAGGCAGCAGUGAGGAAUAUUGGUCAAUGGGCGAGAGCCUGAACCAGCCAAGUAGCGUGAAGGAUGACUGCCCUAUGGGUUGUAAACUUCUUUUAUAAAGGAAUAAAGUCGGGUAUGCAUACCCGUUUGCAUGUACUUUAUGAAUAAGGAUCGGCUAACUCCGUGCCAGCAGCCGCGGUAAUACGGAGGAUCCGAGCGUUAUCCGGAUUUAUUGGGUUUAAAGGGAGCGUAGAUGGAUGUUUAAGUCAGUUGUGAAAGUUUGCGGCUCAACCGUAAAAUUGCAGUUGAUACUGGAUAUCUUGAGUGCAGUUGAGGCAGGCGGAAUUCGUGGUGUAGCGGUGAAAUGCUUAGAUAUCACGAAGAACUCCGAUUGCGAAGGCAGCCUGCUAAGCUGCAACUGACAUUGAGGCUCGAAAGUGUGGGUAUCAAACAGGAUUAGAUACCCUGGUAGUCCACACGGUAAACGAUGAAUACUCGCUGUUUGCGAUAUACGGCAAGCGGCCAAGCGAAAGCGUUAAGUAUUCCACCUGGGGAGUACGCCGGCAACGGUGAAACUCAAAGGAAUUGACGGGGGCCCGCACAAGCGGAGGAACAUGUGGUUUAAUUCGAUGAUACGCGAGGAACCUUACCCGGGCUUAAAUUGCAGAUGAAUUACGGUGAAAGCCGUAAGCCGCAAGGCAUCUGUGAAGGUGCUGCAUGGUUGUCGUCAGCUCGUGCCGUGAGGUGUCGGCUUAAGUGCCAUAACGAGCGCAACCCUUGUUGUCAGUUACUAACAGGUUCUGCUGAGGACUCUGACAAGACUGCCAUCGUAAGAUGUGAGGAAGGUGGGGAUGACGUCAAAUCAGCACGGCCCUUACGUCCGGGGCUACACACGUGUUACAAUGGGGGGUACAGAGGGUCGCUACCACGCGAGUGGAUGCCAAUCCCAAAAACCUCUCUCAGUUCGGACUGGAGUCUGCAACCCGACUCCACGAAGCUGGAUUCGCUAGUAAUCGCGCAUCAGCCACGGCGCGGUGAAUACGUUCCCGGGCCUUGUACACACCGCCCGUCAAGCCAUGGGAGCCGGGGGUACCUGAAGUGCGUAACCGCGAGGAGCGCCCUAGGGUAAAACUGGUGACUGGGGCU
rnacentral:rRNA from 1 species